CUCCGACAAACUAACCUCCAACGGAUCGGCGAUUCACUCCGAAAUCUAGCCGUCCAUCUCCUUCCUAUCUCUCUCUCGUUCGUGUCCAUUUCUCUCUGCUCAAACUUUUUUCUUCUCUCUCUCAUCAAGAAUAUCGCAGAAAUCGAGAAACCAAAUGAAAGAGACCUGAUACGACAAAGAAUUUCAUUUAAUUUAGGGUUUCCAAAUCGUUCUUCUUCUCUUCCCCUCCAAAUUCUGUUUCCCUCUGAGAAAGCUUUCCCCGCUUUGGUAUUCCCCUGUGUUUUUUCUCUUUUCGGGUUAUAAGCUUGAUUUUGUGAUUCGAAGAAGUAGGGGAAGGUUUUCUGUAAUCUGGGUCGUUUUUUGGCUUCUGGGUUUCUUUAAUUUCACGUUUUCGAAUCAGAUUUUGUUCGAGGGAAAUGGAAUUUUCGCGGGAAAAUACGAACGGGUUGUGAUUCUCAGCUCUUUCAUCGCCUUCUCCGGUCAUUUUAGGCUCUUUUAAGGUAGUUCUGUUCCCUUUGUUUCUGAUCUUGGAGGAAGAAGAGCUGCUUUUCUGGAGGGGAGAGAAUUAUAUUCAGAAUUCCACAUUUAUCUUUAGUUGUAGAAUCGAAUUGUGUUGGAAUUUCUAUUCUAAUUGAUUAGAGUUUGAAUGCACAUUGGUUUAUGGAUUCGGAGGCACUUCCAUCUUCAUUGGAUUUGGUGAAAUGCUGUAAUUGUCCGUGUAGUUGUUCGUUGUCUACUACUGGGCCGUCGACUACUUGGAUUCGAUCUGUAAAACGAAAGUAUGAUGAGUUGGAUUCAAAUAGCCCAUUCGCUAUUGUUGGGUUGGAUAACUUUUCUGUUAUACGGGUAGAAGUUGAGAAUGAAUGCAACGCAUUGCGGGAGAUGGUUAGCAGUCAAAAAGAAGCAAUUCAGGACUUGUAUACUGAACUCGAAGAGGAGAGGAAUGCUUCUUCAUCAGCUGCUAAUGAGGCAAUGUCAAUGAUAUUGAGAUUGCAAAGGGAGAAGGCAGAGAUCCAAAUGGAGGCUCGGCAAUUCAAACGCUUUGCAGAAGAGAAGAUGGCACAUGAUCAACAGGAGCUUGUAGCAUAUGAGGAUUUGUUAUAUAAGAGAGAGCAAGCUAUUCAGUCUCUCACUUGCGAGAUACAAGCAUAUAAACAUAGGAUGUUGAGUUAUGGGCUAACGGAAGCCGAAGCCGAUGGUGAGAGGGGUCAGCAAAGUUGUAGCCAGAAUACAGUGGAAUAUGAGGCCCAGUGUGAAUCUCCCAUGUAUGAUUACCCUCCUCUAAGAUGCAACUUAAAUGAGGCUCAAGGUCCUUUGGACCAAGAUAACGAUAUUGCUGAUAUUGAGAAAUAUCCCUUUGGUGAAACCCCACGCAAUCGAGAUCAUGUAGUGAAUUUGGGAAAUAGGAUCAGCCAAUUGGAGAGAAGUUCUAGCUACAAUCAGCUGGAUGGGGACUUCUUCGGUACAAAGAACGUUUUAGAGAAGGUGAUUGUGGGGCAAUCUCCUAGGAGGCCAAGACAUUCCAGGAAGUUUUCCAACGAUUCAAGUUUCUUCAUGGGUAUGCCCCAAGUGAAUGAAUCUCCAAGAUACACAUCAAGCUUCAAGAAGGAACACGUCUCUCAGAGUGACGACUACUCUAAUUUGAGAAAAAUGGAUAAUGCAUCAGAAGUUGGAGAUGACAUGAGUGAUAGAGUUUAUACCAUCGACUCUAUUCACAAUGGAGCAACAUAUAAUGGUUUUCAUGAGUCCAAACCAGCGGUUGGUAUUUAUGAAGACUAUCUAACAACACCCAGAGGAUCACUGAAUCAAGUUGAUGUGGGAGAUCCCGAAGUCAAAAAACUUUAUUUGAGGCUUCAGGCACUUGAAGCUGACAGAGAAUCAAUGAGGCAAGCGAUUAUUACAAUGCGAACAGAUAAAGCCCAACUGGUGUUACUGAAAGAAAUAGCUCAACAUCUAUAUAAGGGGAUGGCACCAGAAAGGCAAGUAGUGGUGAAGAAGCCAUCUGUUAUGGGAAGCUUUUCUUUCAUGGCAGUUUUUAAGUGGAUUGUAUCCUUUGUUUUCUGGAAAAGAAAAGCCCGUCGUAGCAAGUACUUGUUUGGGUUGUCAAAUGGUGUUGGCUUGCUAAUGCUUCUUGAAAAGGGUCAACACGGGCGGCAGUGGAGAUGUCUUUCGAGCACACAAGUUUGAAACAGCUUACCCGAUGUUCAUAGCCAAUCGAACCCGACAUCCCUAAUAUGUAUUGAAGAAUGAUUUAGCCAGUUGAAUGCAAUUGCUGCCUUCCUUUUCGACCACUUUGCUUUCGACUACUCACUUCCAAGAUUUUAACUUGUGGUGGCUAGUUUGUUGCAAUCUAUACCUUCCGCUUGCCCUUUGCUUUAACAUUAAAUUUCUUGUCCGUUUUCCUUUUCUUGUUUGAAUUGUACAGUGUCCUGUGGCCUCUAAUUCUUGUUAUUUCAUGGCUGUGACAGUAUCCUUGUCUACCAAUUGAAAAUUCUCUAGUUGAGAGGAGAGGAUUAGGUCUGUUAUGGGUGGCGAAAGUU